ACUUUGAUUACAGUACAAGCUGAUAACAAAGUAUACCUACUUUUAUAAUAAUUAUUUGUACAAGACAUGAUUUGUGAUGAUUGGAGACAGUUGUUUAUUGCUCGCUUUAUGAACCACAGAAGUUUAAUAACGAGAAUUGAUAUUAAGCAGUUACAUGUAUUCUUCUGGGAAAAUAAUGUCAGUUUUAUUUUUUUACAACAACGAGUGUUCUCUCAGUGGUUUAAAACAGUUUAAAGGCUCUUGUCAUUGGCAUUGUGUUCUAAACUGGCUUCGGUUUCGAAGAACAUCUGAAUCUCAGUAUUAUCGUUGUUGAGGUUAAUAAUUCAGGGGUGUUCGAUGUUCCUUAUUAGGGAUGGAGUAUUUACCUAUUAGCAAUAACUAACUCGGAAAGUGAGAGAAGAUCAACAGUGGCUGAUGCGCAGCACCAAGAAUCGAACAUAAAACUUUAAUGAGUUUCGCCUCUCCUUGUUAUCUUAGGCAGGUCGAACAAAGUUUAACGUUGUUCUGUUUAUUGAACAGAACAGUUUGGCCACAACUCAAUAUGAAAUUAUGUUUAAGUUUUAAUUACUGGCAGAACUAACUCCAUUCAAUUCGGAGUUCGGACGAAGCAAACCGUUUUAAUGUAACGCAAGAACGUUUAGAGUAGAUAAUGUAACUCUUACGCCAGUAUUGUUUCGUAGAAUUUGAUAAAUUGUUUGUUUUCAGCUAUAAAAUUUUCCUACGAUUAUCUUUGAUUGUUAGUAUUAUGUCAUACUACUAGUUUUAUCGCUUCUUAUAAUAGUAUGAGUAACAUUAGAUCCGGCAAUACACCUGUAUAGUUUCGAAAUGUAAUUCGCUGAUAAUUUAUUAAAGCCUAAUCUGAAGUAGAUUUGAAUAAAUCUUUGUUUGCGAAUAAAUCGGAUUUAUUAACGAGGUUUUAAAUAAUAAGCUAAUAAGUAAUUGUUCAUUUCUUCGUAUAGAUUACGAGAAUAAAAUUGCUAUAGGUACCUAAA